rnacentral:lncRNA from 1 species
AGUCUUUAAUUGGAAUUUUCCUUCUCUGCUUCAGGGUGUGCUUCAGAUUCGUACUUACACUUUGCCUCGUGACUGUGAGCACAAGACAUUGCGUUCUUCUGGAGUGGAGACAGGGUGCUCACCUAAUGGAAUGACUUUGGAUUUUACCAUGUGCACCUGGCCCAGAUGUGAGAAGAAAAGGCCUGAGUUAAGCAGACAGAACCACCCCUCGACUGCAGCAUCUUUGGCAGCACUGCAGCAAUGUGAUGGGCAGCAGCUCCCACUGUGGCAUCAGGAAGAACUGAGCAUCACAGGAACGAUUAGCAUCUGAUUUAGCAGCCAGAGCAGGAUCUAGGGAAGCUCGAGUGUUUCAUGCACAGGCCAGUCCCACGAACUCUGAGGAUGGAGGCACUGAUGGGAAUGUGUCACUGCAUUCCCCCCAGGAGCGCUCCCCAUGCACCGCAGAGGAGCCAAUGCUGUAAAUCCCAUCCUGGUGGUCUGUUGUCGCACCUUGCCCCUGGGACGACGGUCUGUGAGAGGAUGCUGGAGCCCUGAUCCUGACACUGCAUUGCAUGGCGUGCUGAGCCUUGGAAAUUUGGGCUGGGAGGGCUCUUUGGGACUCCAGUGUUCAGAGACGCUUGCAAGGUAAGGGCAGGAUGCAGAGGACCCUGAAACCAGUGGGAGGGUGUGUGCUGACUUCAGGCUGUUCUCGGCAUGGUCAGGGUGAACACGUGUGUGAGCAAGCGAGGCCCUGUCUGCCUGCUUGUGUUUUUUGCCAAUGAUGAGUUAUGAACGUAUUUCAAAAUGUCAUUCAGAAGUGGUGGGAGGAACUUGUUUCUCGGCUUGAGAGAGCAGUUGGGUUUGGUAGCAGAAAGCCUGUCAAAUAGUAAGCCAGAAAGUUGGAGAUUUUGAGGCGAAGUACAGAGAAGCAGUUGUACACGUUGGAGUCAGUCACAGCGCCUGCUUAUUGCUCUG